rnacentral:rRNA from 1 species
UACGAAGGGUGCAAGCGUUACUCGGAAUUACUGGGCGUAAAGCGUGCGUAGGCGGUUCGUUAAGUCCGUUGUGAAAGCCCUGGGCUCAACCUGGGAAUGGCAGUGGAUACUGGCGAGCUAGAGUGUGAUAGAGGAUGGUGGAAUUCCCGGUGUAGCGGUGAAAUGCGUAGAGAUCGGGAGGAACACCAGUGGCGAAGGCAGCUCUCUGGGACGGUACUGACGCUGAGACGCGAAAGCGUGGGGAGCGAACAGG